CCUCCCCUGCCAGUGCUGACGGGGAGCUUGGUUGAGUUACAUUCCGAAACACAGCGACAGCUGGGUACUCGUUAGCACUUAAGUUUCCACUGGUCUCUGUACAAGGAAGAUGGAUUUCUUCUUGCAGGAAGAUGGGCCAUGAUUCUGCUCUGCAUUGAACCCUGAGAUCCAACUUCCAAAGUGCAAGGGACAAAAAGCCUCGUGCAAGAAUUCUGGAACCCUGGUAGAGAAGAUAGCUGGCAAUCUCAGCAUUUUUGCCAUUGUUGAAAAUACUCUCCUUCUUCCUUGGUAUCUAUAUCAAGAAAAGUGACCUUGUAUUGGCAACCUGGAUCCCCCAACCCGGAAAACUUCAAGGAACCAGAAAGCAUUUGACAGUCUGGCUCUGGUGGUGAGAGAAUGGAAGAAAUGGAAGUGGCGUUUCCAAGGGAAAGAAACCGGUGAAGAGAUUGAGGCCUCAUAUCUGGUUCGUUUGGAGCAGACCCUCAGUAUUGUGGGAUCUUAGAGCAUAAAGGCAAAGAAAAUCAUAAAAAAAGUUCCCACCAGAUUUUGAAGAACCUCAAUUUCAUCAUCUGCAAGAUGGUAAUCAUACCAAUCCUAUCAUUCAUCACCUGACUGCUGUGAGAAUUGAAUGGGAAAGCAGAGCAAUGCUCAAGGAAUGUUUACAGCUGAGGAGGCACUGAGGGGAUUGCCUGAAGGACAUGAAGUCCAUCCAUCUCUCCAGAUAGUUUGGAUUAUUUCUCAAGAUCAAGAGGCAGAAGGUGAGACUCAAAGGUGACACCCAUGGCAAUCCUGGAUUCUGUAGGACAGAAGCCGGAUUCUGUCCUACCAUGCUGGCCUCUUCCUAGAAAACUUCAAGUAUAGAAAAGUGACUGAAAUAAGACAACAGCAGAUUGUGCUUUUGUGUACCGAACUUGAAGUAAGAAUCUGGUGGGUGAC